GAUGAACGCUGGCGGCGUGCCUAAUACAUGCAAGUCGAGCGAACAGAUGAUGAGCUUGCUCCUCUGACGUUAGCGGCGGACGUGUGAGUAACACGUGGAUAACCUACCUAUAAUACUGGGAUAACUUCGGGAAACCGGCGCUAAUACCGGAUAAUAUAUUGAACCGCAUUGUUCAAUAGAGAAAGACGGUUUUGCUGUCAGUUAUAGAUGGAUCUGCGCCGCAUUAGCUAGUUGGUAAGGUAACGGCUUACCAAGGCAACGAUGCGUAGCCGACCUGAGAGGGUGAUCGGCCACACUGGAACUGGGACACGGUCAAGACUCCUACGGGAGGCAGCAGUAGGCAAUCUUCCGCAAUGGGCGAAAGCAUGACGGAGCAACGCCGCGUGAGUGAUGAAGGUCUUGGGAUCGUAAAACUCUGUUAUUAGGGAAGAACAAAUGUGUAAGUAACUAUGCACGUCUUGACGGUAACUAAUCAGAAAGCCACGACUAACUACGUG
rnacentral:rRNA from 1 species